rnacentral:rRNA from 1 species
GAUGAACGCUGGCGGCGUGCUUAACACAUGCAAGUCGAACGAAGCACUUUAUUUGAUUUCCUUCGGGACUGAUUAUUUUGUGACUGAGUGGCGGACGGGUGAGUAACGCGUGGGUAACCUGCCUUGUACAGGGGGAUAACAGUUGGUAACGGCUGCUAAUACCGCAUAAGCGCACAGCAUCGCAUGAUGCAGUGUGAAAAACUCCGGUGGUAUAAGAUGGACCCGCGUUGGAUUAGCUAGUUGGUGAGGUAACGGCCCACCAAGGCGACGAUCCAUAGCCGACCUGAGAGGGUGACCGGCCACAUUGGGACUGAGACACGGCCCAAACUCCUACGGGAGGCAGCAGUGGGGAAUAUUGCACAAUGGGCGAAAGCCUGAUGCAGCGACGCCGCGUGAGCGAAGAAGUAUUUCGGUAUGUAAAGCUCUAUCAGCAGGGAAGAUAAUGACGGUACCUGACUAAGAAGCACCGGCUAAAUACGUG